rnacentral:tRNA from 3 species
GGCCCUCUGUCGAAAUUGGUAGACGAGGCGGACUCAAAAUCCGCUGCGGCUGACCCCGCGUCCCGGUUCGAGUCCGGGGAGGGCCAUCA